rnacentral:tRNA from 1 species
GUCUUGUUGGUCUAGGUGUAUGAUUCUUGCUUAGCAUGCGAGAGGUCCCAGGUUCAAAUCCCGGACGAGCCC